UACGGAGGGUGCGAGCGUUAAUCGGAAUUACUGGGCGUAAAGCGCGCGUAGGCGGCUUUGUAAGUCGGAUGUGAAAUCCCCGGGCUUAACCUGGGAACUGCAUUCGAUACUGCAGAACUAGAGUAUGGUAGAGGGAAGUGGAAUUUCCGGUGUAGCGGUGAAAUGCGUAGAUAUCGGAAGGAACACCAGUGGCGAAGGCGACUUCCUGGGCCAAUACUGAACACUGAGGUGCGAAAAGCGGUGGGGAGCAAACACGGAUUAGAUACCGCGUAGUCC
rnacentral:rRNA from 1 species